rnacentral:rRNA from 1 species
GACGAACGCUGGCGGCGUGCCUAAUACAUGCAAGUCGAGCGGAUGGAAGGAAGCUUGCUUCCUAAAGUCAGCGGCGGACGGGUGAGUAACACGUGGGCAACCUGCCCCUAAGAUCGGGAUAACUUCGGGAAACCGGAGCUAAUACCGGAUAUGAUUAUGUCUCACAUGAGACAUAAUGGAAAGGCGGCUUCGGCUGUCACUGCAGGAUGGGCCCGCGGCGCAUUAGCUAGUUGGUGAGGUAACGGCUCACCAAGGCGACGAUGCGUAGCCGACCUGAGAGGGUGAUCGGCCACACUGGGACUGAGGCACGGCCCAGACUCCUACGGGAGGCAGCAGUAGGGAAUCUUCCGCAAUGGACGAAAGUCUGACGGAGCAACGCCGCGUGAGUGAAGAAGGUUUUCGGAUCGUAAAACUCUGUUGUUAGGGAAGAACAAGUACCGGAGUCACUGCCGGUACCUUGACGGUACCUGACCAGAAAGCCACGGCUAACUACGUGCCAGCCGCCGCUGUAAUAC